rnacentral:lncRNA from 1 species
AUUGGCAUCAAUAGUGGAAAGCCUUUACAAUUAGAUAUGGCCACUAUUUACAAAACUAGACCUAAUUGUGCCAGAGUUAAGGUCCAGGUAGAUAUUGCCGCUAAUCUACCUAAAUUUUUACAUAUGGUCAUAGUAGAUGAAUCUACCAGAGAAAAACAUACAACCAAUGUUAGAAUACAAUAUGUGCAUUGCUAUAGUGUUGCAAAGAAUGUAAGUUACAAGGUCAUAAUAAGAAAGAAUGAAGGAAAUUAAAUCCUAAUCUUAGAAGGCAGUACAAUAAUUCAAAAGAAAAUAAGAAAAAUGAAGAGGGCCAACAACGAGAUGUAGCAACACUAGAGAUUUAUUAACAGGAGGUUGCUGGACCAAGAUAUAAUGAUUUCCCUCCAAAGAUCUUAUCAGUGGUAAAGUUGCUGGUGAUCCAGUUGUUUGGGCUCUUGUGGAAAGAAAGAAACCUAUGAAGAAAGGAAAGAGGUUAACAAAGAUGCAAAAGCUAAUCCAUCAAAGGAGACAAUAGUUACAAAUAACAAGUUCAAAUCCUGGAAGGAGGAGAGAAAAGAGAUAGAAGAGGAGCAACUGGAUAAUCUAAAAAAUGAGGAGAAAGGGUGGAAAGGGAAGAAGAGAAUAAAUAGAGAGAAGAUUUAAGCUUACAUUCAAAUGAAAUGGUUCAAAUCUGUAAGCAACAACAGAUUUCCCUCGCAGUAGGUGAACAAAAUGGAAUAAAUAUAACAGAGUAGGAAGUUCUAAAAGACACUCAAUAAUAGAUUAUUUAUAGUAAGAGAUAAUUGCCAAUCAGACAAUUUACAACAUAAGUAGAAUUCAACAAUUGACAUACCAAAUGUGCAGAGUUUAGAAAAUAAAGAAGAGAUGGAGAAAGGAAAUAAACAAAAAUUCCCAUGUAAAAGAGAGAUAUGUCAGAUCACAGAUGAUCAAAUUGAACUACACUUGCAAAUGCUGAAUUCCAUCAGCCUUUACAAAUUGAUAGUUUUGGAGUGGUUGAACAUGUAAGAGUAUCAUUGUUCCCAUUUUAAAAUUCCACAAAUAGUUUUAAUAUUGUAGUAGAUAUAGAGGUCCCAGAGAGGUAGGUGGUUGUACAUAGAAAAUAACUUUCUCUAAUCAAGAUUGUGAAUGAUUUGGUUUCUCAUAAGGCAACUGAGAUAACAAUAACACAUUCUAGUAUGAAGAUUAAUAACCAGCUAUAAAAAGAACAACCAACAACCAAAAGAAGAUUAUGAAUAAGAAAUGAAUGAUAUAAAUAUGAAAAAUAUCAUGAAACAUGUAGAUUUAUGUCCAACAAAUAAGAUGAAGGAAAAGAAAAUAAGAGCCAAGGCUGAUAAUAGUAAACCUACUUGGGUCUUACCAUUGAGGGGGUCAAGGCUAGUUCCAACUGCGUUGCAAAGCUCUCUUUCAGAAUAUUAGAUCUGUGAGAGCUCAUCAUGCUUUUCACAAAGUUCAAAUAUUGUACAGACAUAAUAAAUUUUUCAAUAUUGCAUUAAUGGAACCUUUUCAAGCACCUUGCUAGAUUCAAAGGUACAAGAGAAGGUUUGGUAUGCAAUAUUCAAACUAUAAUCAAAAUGAAAAAGAUGGAUUUAUUCUCAGCAAGAUAUUCAGGUCACAAUGUUAGUUAAUUCUGAUCAACAAUUGACUACUUAGAUCAACUUUGUGGAUGGAAGAAAAAUUAUUACCACAAUAGUAUAUGCAAAGUGUGAUGUUAUUGACAAAUUAGAUUUCCCAAAUGAUAUUUACUCAUUAAGUGAUAGUAUGAGAUUACCAUGGUUGUUAGGAGGUGAUUUCAAUGUCAUUUUGGAUGAGGAUGAGAAAAUUAGAGGGUUGCCUAUUUACCCUCAAGAAUAUUAAGAUUUUGCAUUUUGUGUAAAUUAUUGUGAACUUUUUGAUAUCAAAUUUAAAGGGAUCCCAUUCACAUGGUGGGAUAGUAGAAUUGAUGGUGCUUGUCUAUUUAAAAGGUUGGAUAGGUAUGUCUGAUGAAUCAAAGGUUGUUGAGGAUGUUUGUGAAUGUUAAAGUUAAACAUUUAGCUAGAACUGGUUCUAAUCAUGCUCCUAUUUUGUUAUCAUGUGGGGGAUUAGAUACACAUAUUUUUUAGCCCUUUUAAUUCCAAAAAAUUUGGACAGAAGAUAAGGAUUUCAAAAGGGUGGUAACUGACAGCUGAAAGUGUGAAGAAUCGGGUAACUAUUUCAUUAAAUUGAAACAAAAGAUGAAAAAUGCUAAGCUGGCACUUUCAAGAUGGAGUAGAGAAAAGUUUGGUGAUAUUUUUAAUUAGUUGAUGACUAGAGAAGAUAUUGUAAGGAUUAUUUAUUUGGAUAAAAUCUUUCUUCAGAAAAUAGAAUGAUACUUCAACUUGCAUAGGCUGAAUUAAAAAAUUACCUUCACUAUGAAGAAAAGUAUUGGAGGCAGAAAGUAAGGGUAAGAUGGUUUGUUGAAGGUGAAAAAUACACUAAGUUUUUCUAUAACUUAGUUAAUGGUAGGAGAAAAAGAUUGCACCUAAAUAGAAUUGGCAAGGAAGAUGGGGUUGUGCUGAAGGAAAGGAAGAAGUUGCUGCUGAGGCCAUUAAAUUUUAUCAGAAAUAGUUCACUACUGAGACUGAAGUGGUAGAUUUAACUUUGCUUAAAUUUUUCCAACACUAGUUAUUUCUAGGGAUAAUCAAUUGUUAAAUUCCAUGCCAAAAGGAGAAAAGAUUAAAAACGUGGUUUAUGAGGUUAAUGGUGAUAGUACUAGUGGUCCUGAUGGUUUCACAGGGCAAUUUUAUCAAUCUUGAUGGGGUAUUAUGGGAUCUGACAUAUGUGAAGUUGUGGUUGCUUUUUUUUUUGGCAGGAUGUACUUUGCCAAAGUCAAUUACUCAUAUUAACUUGGUCCUACUGCCCAAAAAAGAGAAUAUGUAGUUUUUUUUCUGACUUGAGAUCAAUUAGUUUGAGCAAUUUUCUUAACAAGGUACUGUCUAGAAUCAUUCAUGAUAGAAUAGAGAAAGUAAUUCCCAAAAUUAUUUCUCCAAACCAGUCAGGGUUUGUGAAAGGAAGACGUAUUACAGAGAAUGUUUUAUUGGUCAAAGAGAUAAUCUGUGAUAUAAGAAAAAGGGGAAAACUAGCUAAUGUUGUGAUUAAGUUGGAUAUGGGCAAAGCAUAUGAUAGAGUAGACUAGAGAUUCUUGAUUAAAGUGCUUGAAAGAAUGGGUUUUGAUGGAUUUUUUUUUAGAGAUUUGUGACUAAUAAUUGGUAUUCUGUGCUAAUUAAUGGACAAUCCUAUGGUUUAUUUCAUUCUACCAGAGGUCUCAAACAAGGAGAUCCUUUAUUUCUAGCCCUUUUCAUCCUAACUACUGAGGUAUUGUCGAGAACUUUAAAUAGUUUAUUUAAGAAUAAUGACUUUAAGGGGUUUGGAAGACAAAAUGGCAUGAUAGAAUUAAUCAUCUAGUGUUUGCUGAUGAUACUAUCAUUUUUCAUUGAGGAGAAACUAACAUUGCAGAUGGCCAUGGAUAGUCUUAAGGAAUAUGAAAAGAUAUCAGGGCAAAUGAGUAAUAAAGACAAAAGUUGUUUUUAUGUUUUUCAUAAGACUGUUGAGACUAUUGUUCAAGAGAUCAAAGACAUUAAUGGCUUCAGUAAAGAAAAAUUCCCUCUAAUAUAUCUUGGGUAUCCAAUUGGACAUGUUAGGAAGAGGAAAAUCAUUUUACUGAAAUAAUGAAGAAAGUACAGAAUAAGGUACAAGCAUGGAAAGGUAAAUUAUUAUCUUUUGUUGGAAAACAUGUUUUGAUAAAUAGUUUUUACAAAAUAUUCCAAUUUACCUACUUUAUGCUACUGUUCCACCAAAAUGGGCCAUUUAUGACCUUUAUAAAAUCUUUGCUAUGUUCUUAUGGAAUUUUAAAGAGGAGGAAAAGAACAGACACUGGAUGGCUUGGACAGAAGUUUGUUGUCCUAAAGAAAAGGGUAUCUUAGGAUUCUGGUCUCUGUUUGAUAUGUACCAAGCUUUAUAUGCCAAGCUUUGGUGGAAUUUCCAAACUAAGAAAUCCCUAUAGGCUAAGUUUAUGUGGAUAACGUAUGUGAAAAGAAUAGACCUUAAAUUGAUGAAUGGAGAGGAGGUUCACAAAUUUGGAAUUACAUAAUUGAAGCAAGAGAUUUUUUGAUCAGGAUAUUUGGUAGGAACCUAUAAGAGGGAGUGCUAAUGCGUGGUAUGAUAAUUAGACACAACUAGGAGCUUUACAUUAUUUACUUCCUAUAAAUAAUUUGAUGCAUGAAGGAGUUGAAGAUGUUACAGAUUUGAUAUUGGGUAACAAUUGGAAUAAGAUAUUAUUGAACCAAUUAUUGCAUGAAGAGAUUAGAUCUUAUUUUUUUGAAAAAAUAAAAGUAGGGGAAGAACCUAUAGAUUGGGAUGCAACUUGGUAGAAAUGAUUGAUUCUGGAAAAUUUACAAUUUUUAGUGCUUGGAAUAAGGUCAGGGUAGAAAAAAUGAAACAACUAUUGUUUAAGAAAAUUUAGGUGAAAGGAUUACCUUUCAAAAUUGCUUUCUUAUCAUGGAGAGUUCGCAAGAAAAGGAUUCCAACUGGGGAGAUGUUGGUGAGAAUACAAGGUGCAAGCACAAUUAUCUAUUGUUGUUGUAAUGAUACAAAAAUUGAGACUUGUGAACAUCUUUUUUGUACUUGUUUUGCUGCUAGGAAUAUAUGGCAGUAACUUGCAAAUGCAGCUGGUAUUGAGGGUCCCUUUAUACAACUUAAGAGCACCAUUUUUCAAGUGGUGGCAAGCAAAUUGUAGCUCUAAGUUAAAGACUAUUUACA